rnacentral:rRNA from 1 species
UACCAGCACCCCGAGUUGUCGGGACGAUUAUUGGGCCUAAAGCAUCCGUAGCCUGUUCUGCAAGUCCUCCGUUAAAUCCACCUGCUCAACAGAUGGGCUGCGGAGGAUACCGCAGAGCUAGGAGGCGGGAGAGGCAAACGGUACUCAGUGGGUAGGGUAAAAUCCAUUGAUCUACUGAAGACCACCAGUGGCGAAGGCGGUU